rnacentral:pre_miRNA from 1 species
UAUGUACUCCCUCCGUUCAGAAUUACUUGUCUCGGAAAUGGAUGUAUCUAGAACUAAAAUACAUCUAGAUACAUCCAUUUCUAUGACAAGUAAUUCUGAAUGGAGGGAGUACAUC